rnacentral:rRNA from 1 species
CAGUAGCCAGGUAAUACGUAGGGCGCAAGCGUUGUCCGGAAUUAUUGGGCGUAAAGAGCUCGUAGGCGGUCUGUCGCGUCUGGUGUGAAAUCCCGAGGCUCAACCUCGGGCUUGCAUCGGGUACGGGCAGACUAGAGUGCGGUAGGGGAGACUGGAAUUCCUGGUGUAGCGGUGGAAUGCGCAGAUAUCAGGAGGAACACCGAUGGCGAAGGCAGGUCUCUGGGCCGCAACUGACGCUGAGGAGCGAAAGCAUGGGGAGCGAACAGGAUUAGAUACCCCCUGUAGUCCCUGUCUCUUAUAU